AAUAUGUAGAUUUUUUUUGCAGUUGCUGAACGGAAGCGACACAUUAUUUCUAGUCGAAGGCGUAAAUGGCGUAUUAAGAGGAAACAAUCACAUUUGCUGGUCUACUUUAAAACGCGACAAUAAUGUACCUACACAUCGCCAUAAUACGACCUACUAUACUGUCGAGGAAAAGAAAUCUAGGAGAAGGCAAAGAUCUACCAGAAGUAAAAAAUCUACCAAGAGUCAAAAAUCUACAAUCACUUACAAGUUAGAAAGCAGGGACACGUACUGGUCUGUGGGAACAAUUAAUAGUACUCCAGUGGUUUCGAUGAAUGUUUACGAUACAAGAGCACAAACUUUUAAUAUAUCUGGUGACUACCUUCUUUUAGAGACCCAGCCUACUUGCAUUGUUAUGGGCAUACUUACAGGCAACAU